ensembl:snoRNA SNORA70 Small nucleolar RNA SNORA70
CUGCUGUCAGUUAAGAGGUCCAGGCUCCUUCCCUCGUAGGGCCUGGUGGUGGGCUGCACGCAGCAGCCUCCUUGGGGAUAUGUGUAGUCUGUUACUGUACAGGUUGUUCUAGAGACCCUGGAGACAGUU